rnacentral:rRNA from 1 species
GAUGAACGCUAGCGGCAGGCUUAAUACAUGCAAGUCGAGGGACAGCACAGGUAGCAAUACUGGGUGGUAACCGGCAAACGGGUGCGGAACACGUACACAACCUUCCUUUAAGUGGGGGAUAGCCCAGAGAAAUUUGGAUUAAUACCCCGUAAUAUAGUUGAAUGGCAUCAUUUGAUUAUUAUAGCUACGGCGCUUAAUGAUGGGUGUGCGGCUGAUUAGAUAGUUGGCGGGGUAACGGCCCACCAAGUCUACGAUCAGUAGCUGAUGUGAGAGCAUGAUCAGCCAAACGGGCACUGAGACACGGGCCCGACUCCUACGGGAGGCAGCAGUAAGGAAUAUUGGUCAAUGGACGCAAGUCUGAACCAGCCAUGCCGCGUGAAGGAUUAAGGUCCUCUGGAUUGUAAACUUUUUUUAUUUGGGACGAAAAAGGGCCUUUCUAGGUCAACUGACGGUACCAGAUGAAUAAGCACCGGCUAACUCCGUGCCAGCAGCCGCGGUAAUAC